CAUUAUUGCUGGGGAAACCUUUCUUUUGCAAGUUCAGUAUCGCAUUGGCUCACUUUUGUGAUAGCAGAAAGGGAGAGGGGAGGGUGCUGAUUUAGCUUUGGGAUUUUUUGUACAGAAAACAGAUUUCUAAUCAAAAGCAGGCAUCUUGCCGUGAUAACUGUCAUUGUUACUGUCCUGCUGCCACAUGCUCAGAAAAGUUUCUUGCCUAGUGACCAAGAGAUGGAUGGGCUCUUUCACUUUGUUGUCAUUAGUUAAUUCAUACCACAAUUUAUCAUAUUUUUAUGUACAUGCUGUGUUGUGUAUAGUGACUACGUUUGUUUAUCUCUUAGAGGCUUGGAAAUCUGGCUUCUCAAGUCACAGCAUCCAGCAGGCUGUCUUGUGCCCAUUCAAAAAGAAAUCCUAAUUAACAUCUAUAGUGUUUCCUGAGUGUUAGGGAGAAGUGGCAAGUAGCAUUGGAUGUGCUUUCCACCACCUUUAAGCCUGUAGCAACAGGCUUUCCCUUUGCCUUGCUGGCACAAAAGUUCAUGUAGUUGCUCAGGGACUGGCAACCACAGCUUGUAUUUUUGGCAGCUGGGAGUGUGAACCUGAAAUGGUUGGUGUUCUGCAUUCUGACUGUUUUAGCUGUUUCUAGUUCAGAAUUUUGGCCUGUGAACUGGCCAAAUACUUAUGUAUGCUUUAAACAGGAACGGGUCCUCACUCUCUUUAAUAGCAGGUGUCAUUGCUGGCACACUGAGCUGACAGCAUGUGGGCUACUCAAGUGUGCAUAGCAAAUAAAGCCCUAAGCUGUUACUCCUACAUGUAUUUAAUUUUUUGGUCGAAAUCUGCUGAGUCCUUGUUUCAAAGUACAUCAUAGUUACAUAAAGUCACAUUUCUAUGAAAAUAAUUAUUCUGUAAUUGAAAGCUGUACUAAUGGUAACUGUGUUUCAAAAGUUUGAGGGGGUUGCUUUUGUUACAACCUCUUCUUACAGCCUGCUUCUUGAAAUAGGUCUGAUCUUGAUGUUAAAUUGCUCAUAAUACAUAACAGCUAUAACUGUUGUUGACUCCAAUCCAGUAAUACUUCUCCUCUCAUUCUAAACUGGGCAGCCCCCUGGAAGAAAGUUGCAUGUUUCUGUUGCUGUUUUUAGCACCACUAAAAUCACUUGAGGGAACAGCAGAGGAUGAAGGUUUAUGCUUCUGGUCCCUUCAUGCAGAACAAGAUAGGUUGUAACUGCAGGACAUUCAAAGAGGGACAGCUGGGCUGAAGAAGGGUUCUGCUGCUGUGUGAGGAGGUAAUGAGAAGGCCAAAACAGACAGCUGAGGUGCAAAAUAUGAUAGACACCUACAAAAUCAUUAAAUGGCACGGAGAGGAGUUAAAUACUCGCUGUCUCUUCCAUGACAGCAGCCAUAAGCUGUCCAGUAGGAGUUAGGUUCAAAGCAAAUAAAAGGAUGCAGCUCUGCAUGCAAUGUGUAGUAGGGCUUAUUGUCAUGCCAAGAAGUACAGUGUGUUGUAGAAUUUUGUUACAAGGAGAGUCUGGACAAGUGCUUGGAAGAGAUCCAUUAAAGGAUGAGGUGUCAAUAAAUACACAGAUUUCCCCACGUCUCACCAAGACCUGAAAAUAUUUGGCUGUUGGAAGAGUGCAGAUUAUCAUCAUAUACUCUUGCUCUGCUCUUACUCUCCCCAAAUGCCAAGUUUCCAUAAGGCAGAUGUUUUCUUUUGUGGGAACAGUGGACAGGUUAAUCAAGAUAUUUUCUUUCUCCAAAUACAUCAAGCAGUAGGUAAGCGUGACAGUGGUGUAAAUAGAGGCUGUUCAAGAAAGGGAAGGGAGCCCAGUUGCCAACAACCAGGCAAUUGUCAAACCCAAUUAUAAUUAGUUUUCCUACAGUUUCUACUUCUAUGAAAAAAUCACCCUAACACUGCUGGCAAUUCUAUCUUCACUUUCACAUUAUACAUGUAGAAGGAAAUUCAGGAAAUUGCAUUUUCUGUGAAGAAAUCACUUCACAGGAACCAUUGUGCCUAUAAGCUUUACUUUUGAGAGAACAGCUAUUGUUUGAUCUCUGCCCAGGGUAGGGCUCAGAUGGGAGCAGAUUUUGUGAUCCUUCUCUGCAGCAAGCCCUUCAGUAGUCUUGAGGAGGGGACAUUUACCUGGCUCAGAAUAACCAGGCUGGCCCAGCCCAGAACAGGAGCUGGAGGAUCCGUGUUGCCUUUAAUGUGAGAGGGGAUCAGAAGUGGCAGCUCCCUUUGAAUCUGGCUUACCUUUGGCACUAUGCAGGUUUCCAGAGAAGUUUUACGUAAGGGGAGGAAGCAGAAUUCAGUCUCUCUUCUUAAUGUUUUUUUAAAACCUAAUCCUGCUAGCAAUGGAGAGAAGAAAGAUACAAAGUGGUGUGUAACAAUUCUGUAGCAGACUUGGGAAGUGUUACUUGUUAGGAAUGUUUGUCUUUGACAGGGUGGGUUUUCCAGCUUUCUUUGACACAAAAUAUCUUGUAGAGGGUAGAUGUUUAGAGCUUGUCAUUCUGCAAGAUCCAGGGAAUCCAGCCUAGCUCAACAAAACAUUUAGCAUAUGCUUUUCUUGCUGGUUUAUUUUUAUUCUGUUGAAGUUAGUGAGGCAGUCAUUUACUAUUAGGAGUGCAUGAAUGGGUAGAAAGAAUAAAAGCUGAUAACAGCCAUGUGUUAAUGUUGGAGCUUCACUGCAAAUGCUAUUUAUCUCUUGGUAAUAAAUUUGUAAAUCUUUAGAAUGAGAUAAUGUGCAUUUGACAGCCCAAGUGGUUUAGGCAAAAAUAGAUAAGUGACAAACUGCUUAAGUCUCAGUAGCUCAUGGGAUGUGGGCUUAAUUUACCACUUUUUAAUGUGAUCGAUAAUUAAAACUAAUUAAAUGUUAUGCAAAGCAGCCUGCCCUUUUUUAGCUAUUUGACUGACUAAUAAUGAUUAUACCUGGGGAAAUGGAAUGUUGUAGGUUUAUUAUCUGAAAUGUCCAGAAAAAAAAAGAAAAACUGCCAACAUGUAGACAUCAAAACUCUCUGCUUGCAUAAGAUGAAGCUGGAAAAUAUAUGCCAGGUUAUAUCCUUUCCAAGGAGCAGAGUUACCAUCCAGCGUUGCAGUACACAGUGCACCUCAAUCUUUUUAUUUAAGGCUUGUUUUGUUGCCUGUUACAGGGAUUUUGCUGCUGUUUAAUUUAAGAAAUAUUUUUGUCUUUUGUGCACAUAAAGAAACUUCUAGCAAGCUUUUUUAACAUAAUUUUGUUAUUAUUAUUUUUUAUUCUAUAAAUUGAUUUUUGUAGAAAGCAACACUUGUUUUAUGGCGUUUGGGUAGGAGUUUUUUUGAAGAAAAAGAGGACUGUGGCAUGUUUAAGAAACCUGUUAAGGAGGAAAGUUAAUCUGAUCUAUUGUACUGGUAGUCUAAAAUCCCUUCUACUUCCUGUCCUCUUUCUUAUGCUUUACAGUGGCCAAGCUUUAUGGUAGCACUGAAGGAGCAUGCCUUGAAAGGAACCAGAUUUGGUGAUCUCUGGGAAAUUGUAAUGAAGCACCCCCUUGUCUACACUUAGCAUCAAAACCCUCUUCCUGUCUCAAGAUAGACUCCUUAGGCAAUGCUAAUACCCAAGAGUACAGCCCUGUGUGUCAUUCCCCCAUAACAGUCUGAUUGUGUUUUGUUAAACAGAAGGUGCAAAAGGGCAACACUUAACUAUCAAAAGAAUUUUUUUAUCUCAUCAAGUCAUCUCUGAACUGUAAAGUAACCUGACAUUGCAAAUAAGUAGACAUCACAUCUAUUUUAAAAAACCCAAAACAACAUACCAACACAGUAAGUAGUUUGGUGAAAUGACAUCAUCUGCUUCUUCUUGCCUUGUAUCAGCAGUGAUUCUUGCAUCUCUGUGGACAGACAUUCAUUCAACCUGUCUGCCAAACUUCAGUGGGUCUAUGGAGUGAGCAUUUUCAGGUUUUGAUUCUCCUUAUUUCUGCAAAGUUACAUAAUCUGAAUCUCUUCUGUGCUGAAUUAGAUUGCUCAAAUUUUCUAUUCAGGUUGUAUUUUCUUAUCCCUUCAAUAAUUUUUUUUUUUCCUUUUGGACACUUUUCAGUUGCAUGUGUCUCACCUGACAUGUGGUGCCCAAUGCAGUCACUGUAUUUCAGUUGGGUGCUUGUUACAAGUGCUGAGAAAAGCAGAGGUGACACAUAAAGCUGAGUUUGGAGCUUCUUUCUAUUAUGUUUUUCAAGAUAGCCAUAUUCAGUAAAACAUAACUUCCUAAACCCUUAAUUCUUUGGUUCCAGGUUAUAUGGGGUGUACAGCCCUUUAAUGAUAUUACAGCAUGCCAUAAAGCCCAUAUUAAUGCAAUUUCUGAGUUGCAGCAAACACCAGCUGCUUUUCUGCCAGUCAUACAGCUGAACUUUUCACUUUCUCCAAAGGAACACUGCAUCUGUUUGAGAGCUUUUUGACCCCCCUUUUUAUGGUUCCUGUGCCUUUGAGAGUGGAAGUGAUCUAGAGUAAUACUUAGCCCUUCACUGAAAUCACAGAUGCCCUCCUCUUUCAGCUCAACUACUGAUCAUCUCCCAUCCCACAGAGCCACUUGUGUCACACAAGCUACAUGAUGGAUUGCUCACCUUAGGCUUUUAGAUAAAUCAUUCCUGUGACCAAAGGAAAAGCUGCAGCACAGCAGAGAGGUGAUCUCUUAGAUUACCUUAUCUCAGUCACAGCUCUGCCAGACUGCUGCUCCUGUGAUCCCUUCCCUGUCAGCUGCAGCUAUGGCAAAUGCAUGCAGUUAAGGCUGUUGCCAGCAUAAAGGGACAGUAUUGUUAGACCUGUAUUACCUUUUCUUGCUUUCUGGGUCCUAGAAAGAUGAGUUCUGCUGAACUGGUCUUCUGGCAGUUAUACCUGGAGAUCUUCACCAUAUGCAGAGGUUGCCGAUGAGUUAUUUCCUCUCAUCUGGAAAAAAAAAAAUAAGGCCACAACCAAAAUGCACCAAUGCAGAUAGCUUGGCAGUUGGUGAAAUGAAUGAUGGGCUAGGUUAAUAUUUUUAAUGUUUCUGCUACCUACUAGAGUCUCAUAAUGCUGUACAAAAAGGCACUUACCAGAUAUUGACCAAAGGAUAAUCUGUCUGCUGCAAUUUGAACUCUUGCCAUGGACUAACAUUUGGCAAUAUGUUGGGUCAAUACUUUGUAUUCCUAUCAAGAGUUCAUUUUUUAAAAAUACUGAGAAAAUAGAGUGAGUAGUUGGACCACAUUCAAAUGAUUACACAGUUUAAAGCAAAAUGAUGUAAUGGAAAGAUAACCAUUAUGUGCUUCAGCAGCAUGUUAUGAGCUUGUCAUUUGUUGCCCUAAUAUAUGAAAACGUGAAUAAGACUGGAGGUCUUGAGGAGCGUAGCUCUUAUAAAUAUAACAUGUGCUUCAAUUUCAAGGCUCGGUGGUUUUCACAGAAAGAAUGUGCCUGUGGUGGUCUAGGAGUGAACAUAUUGUGUGGCUUUCAAGUGACUCAGCACUGUUCCACCAGCAGCGAAGUAGAACCAGAAUUGCUGUAAUCCUCCAGCAGAGGAUCAGCUUUUAUGGCACAAUCUGUUUCUUUUCUCAAUUACCAAGCAGCAUAUAAUAGAACUUCACAGGAAGAAAAGAGGAGGAAAAAUAGCAGGACUGAAAAAUUCUUGGCAUUUUUGCAAAUCUGGGUUUUUUUGCUUUUUCAGAUUAAAGAGCAGAAUAAAACCCUGUCCUAAUUUCAAAUGAGAGGUGUAGCUGGAAGAAUAAGCUGUAUGAUGUGACUUGGAAAAAGGUGCCUGUGGAAAAUGUCCUCAUGACAUGGAGCAGUGAGAGGAAGUGUAAGUUUGUAGGUAAUGCAGGUUAGGAAUGGUUUUGGUGUGCUCCUGUUCUGACUGGGAACGUGUGGGUUUUUUGCUGAAUGACAGGAUCAGGCCUGCUGUGCUGUUUGCAGGCACGUUCAUGGUGUGUGAAAGUCAGGGCUGUGAACGUACCAGUAGCUGUUGACCUCCAAGCCCAGUGAAUUGGAAGGGUGGUGGGAUGAGAAAAAGGAGGUCAGGCCAAGAACUGGUGGUGCUGAGGCUUCAGACAAGAUCAUUGCAAUGGCUGGACCUGCCUGUUAAAAUAAUUGAUAAUGUGGUGAGAGUAAAGCUUUCUGCUUGGACUUAACAAUUCUACUGAGACAGUGGCCUUAGUAGAAAAGCAAUUAGUGGGAUUGCUGAUGUCAUGGUUUUGGUUUUUUUUGAGUUUUUUUACAUUAUUAUAUUUUCCUUUGCUGAGCAGUUUUAAUCAAAUAUAAUCAGGUAACAAGCCAAAGAUCUUCAGGUACUGUUUUUCUUUUCUGUGUUCUAGAAAAUCAGGUUUUAAAAUCUUUUAAAUAUUGUAUGCAUGAGCAAAUUUGUAACUGAUCUGCUGUUGAAUGGGGGGGGAGAGAAAAAGCUUCUUCUGGUAUUGUUAGCUAUUCUCUUAUGUCAGAGAAUACUAACAAUAUUAAACAAGUUAAGAAUGUGCCAUUUUGUUCUUUUGAGAUACUAUAAUAUAAAGCAAGAUUGAGUUUAUUUUCUGUUAAUGAGAUAAUUUUCUGUUAGUGAAGCAAUUGCUAAAAUCUGGUUCUCUGUUGUGCCACUUUCUUUUGUAAGUCACAAAUGCUUUGGGAUCCUGUUGUAGGUAAGCACUGACUAAGCAAUGAUGCUAGGAUAGCUUUUUCAGUAUGAUUACUGGGGAUUUUGUCAGUAUACUAGCACAUUCUGAGUCCUUUUCAAUUGCUGUUUUUCUAGAAUAAAGAUACAGGAAGCAAUGGCAGUAAUAAUUCUGCAAAAUAACUUUCUCCUUCAUUAACUGUGGGCUUGAUGAGGGAAGGGGUUCUGAUGAUGUGAAAGAGCCUUUGUAAAGCUCUGAAACCAGGUCUUUUUGGGCACUCCUACCUUGUCAGCCAUUUUCUUCUCUGUCUUCUGUUUCAGCUGCAUGUGCCCUUCUGAAUUUUUCCCUGUGAGUUGCUUGAAGUUAUUUUUUGGUUAAUCCCUCUUUCUUGUCCUUUCAUCAAUCAAGUUAAAUUUUUGUCACAUCAGACUUGCAAAUGUGUUUAAUGCUAAAGCUGAAUUACAUUUAUACCUUUCAGUAUAAAAAUGUACCUUUUGGAAAUAAGGGAUUAUUGGAUUUUGUGAAAACCAUUGUUAUACAUAAUGUUUGUAUGUAGUGUUGAUAUGUAAUUUUUUUUUCUUUGCAACUGUCUGUCAGAAUAGUUGCUUUUGAUUUCUGCCUUCUACCUUUUGUAGAGUUCUAGCUUUCAUACCUUUAUAUUAGAUUCAUAACCAUUUUAAUUGGUUUUUCUUAACAAGUCUGAUUUUCAAACAUCCUAAAAAAUCUUUCCUUCAGUCUUGCUGCUGUUUUUAAAAAUGUGUGCAUGAAAUCUUUAAAUAAAAAGAAAUAAUUUUUCACAUGCAAAAAUCUUUCAAGUGUUUAAGACAAGUUUCUCAGUGACCACCUGACAUUAGUUUUGCAAUCAAUAUUUUUGUGAAAGAGAAACUUUGGCCAAGGUGCUCUUCUCUUUCAUAAUGCUUGAAGUGUCAACUUGAACCACAGCCCUAAUUUGGACUGAAAGAAGGUAAUGUCAUAUAUUUAAAUA